GUAGGGAAUCUUGGGCAAUGGGCGAAAGCCUGACCCAGCGAUGCCGCGUGUGUGAAGAAGGCCUUAGGGUUGUAAAGCACUUUCAGCAGCGAAGAAAGGCCGGGAAUUAAUACUUCCUCGGUUUUGACGUUAACUGCAGAAGAAGUACCGGCUAACUCCGUGCCAGCAGCCGCGGUAAUACGGAGGGUACGAACGUUAAUCGGAAUUACUGGGCGUAAAGCGCGCGUAGGCGGCUCGGUCAGUGGGAUGUGAAAGCCCCGGGCUUAACCUGGGAACUGCAUUCCAAACUGCCGAGCUAGAGUAUGGUAGAGGGAGGUAGAAUUUCCUGUGUAGCGGUGAAAUGCGUAGAUAUAGGAAGGAAUACCGGUGGCGAAGGCGGCCUCCUGGACCAAUACUGACGCUGAGGUGCGAAAGCGUGGGGAGCAAACAGG
rnacentral:rRNA from 1 species